GUCAGAGAUGCAUACCACCUACAGGAGCCAGACUACAGAAUGUCUGCCGCAGACCAACAGACUGAAGCCUAUUCCCCCCUCACGACUCCAGUGGUAUUAAAAGCAGAAAUAUUUCUGGAUAAGUCACGCCAAAAGACUGACUCCUUCAUCAAAGGGCUUUGUCUGGUAAGAGUACCCCAUUUGGCCCGUCACUGGAGAGCAGAUGGGACAGCAAAAAAAAGAGGCUCCACUCAACAUCAAGGAGCAGCGGGAAUACAAAUGUUUUUCCACCAGAAUUUUAGGCCUGAACAGAACAGAGGGUGAAACUAAUACAAAAAUAACAGUUUUUGGUUAAGUAUUCAUAUAAAAUGGAGAUUAGAAGCCCAUUUUGAAUCGAGUCAGGAAGCAAAUUAUGUCCAAAUCGCUUCUCCUCUUAGUGCUUUCAAUAAAAUGCCCUACAAAUUGGUAAAGGUUAUGAGGUGCCACAUCAAAAUGACAGAAUAAUUAUGGCAAAGGCUAUUUCAUUGGUAUAAAAAGGAUUCUAAAUAAAGAGAGGCCACAGAGGUGGACUCUCUGUCUGAUGUAGCAGAUCUUAUUUUUUAUACUGCAUUCUCUCAAAAUAAUAAAGUAGAUAACAGCUUGCUUGAACAUUUAAAAGAAAUUUAGGACAUAAUUUAUUUUACACUUUAGGCUUACAUCUUCAUUCUCUUUGUCAGUGUUCAUAAAGCUCAGACACCCCAUUUUGGUCCCCACCCAGGCGGUCUGGCCCUCCUAGUGACCCUAGUGUACCCCGUCUGACUAAACAAUGAUGCUGGGUCACCUCCUCAUGGCCCAAGACAGAUGGCUGGCUCCUCUCUGCGGUUUCCACCAUGGCCAAGGUCACCUCCCCUGCUCUCGGUGCACCUGCACCCCAACACUCCCAUCAUCGUCUUUACUCCUGCUACACCUAGCACACACCACUGCACAAACCCUUCCCCCAACUCACCCCUCCCAUGUAAACAGAGGGGAAAAUGAACCAUUUAGAUUCUGCUGGUGUGUGUUACACCAUGCUGAGGACUACAUCCAACCUGCAAGAACACACCUGUAGUACAAACACAAAACACUCACUGGGAGAUAUUUUUCGACUGAAACUCGACUACUACUGAAAAGCAAUUAGGUUUUCACUAAUGAAGACAUGAUAUUGGCAAAAGAAGACAGCAGAAUGGAAAAGUAAUGAAAACGCUUGUAUUAUGUUAAAUAAUGACAAAUACCUUCCAUGUAUAUCCCUGAAUUUACAAAAUACGCUUCGUUCAAAACGUUGCCAUUCAACUUCUAAAUCAACAUUCGAAUGCAGGUUAUUAGAGGUGAAGAGAUCUCGUGCCACAAGAUCUCACGAGAUCAAACCAUGACAAGAUCUCUCGUCAGGUUAAAAGCUGUCUCGUGAAACUCACACAACUGACAUUUUUCACAUGCAGUCACGCCAUACAUCAAUUUUACUCAAGCAGUGAAAAACAAAUGUAUAACUGAUAACGCCGACUUGCAAAGCAAAUCAACUCUGCCCAGCUGAUGCGACACUGGCAUCAUGCCAUGAUAGUAAUCAAGUGAACCCUGUCUCGCACUGUGAGUCCAGACAGUUGUGACAGAGUGGUAAUGUAACUGAUAUAGUUGCAUAAAUGUUAAACAUCUAAAAAAUUAAGCACAACCUUGCUCUGUUUGGGACUGUGAGCUGCAGUUAAAGUUAAAAUGUGUGUGGAUUUGUAACAAGGUUUCAGCCCGAUCAGAAAUGUUGUCAGUUAGUUUCGGUGUCCACCUCCUUGUCUUAUCCUAACAUGCAGUCCUAAACUGUGUCAGUCAAACAAUCUGAAGUGAAUACAACCGGCAGUGCGCAAAUGUAAUGCACAGCAGAGUAUAGGGCAGGUAGACUAAACAUUUUUUCAUUAAAUGAUUACGUUAUGGUUUCUCACAUUGACAUGCAUUUAUGAAAAUGAGCAGAAAACCUGCUGAAACACAGG